AUCAAGAUGUCAGCGCCCAUGUAACAAAAUUAACACCAAAACGCAAAUUAUAUUCCCAUGUUUUGGAGACAAUGAUGUGGUUUUGAGCAUUAUACGUCAAAGCUUCUUCAAAUAUUUAUGCUAUUUUUUUUUAAUUUGUAUUGAUGAAACUGUUGACAACUGUAUUAACCAUAUAGUUUUUCAUUCGGACAGCCGUGUUAUUUGACACGUAAAACUAAAAAGGUGAAAGUUCAAAAAGUGGAACUCUUUACUAUACAUUUCUUAAGACGACAGAAUAGAUAGUAAAUAAUAAUUUUAUGAUACAAAGAAAUAUUCUCAACAACAGCUUUCUGUGAUAAUGUAAGUCUGUGUUUGGUCAAUAGAUC
rnacentral:lncRNA from 1 species